UCGAACGGUGCGGAACGAAAGCGCGCGCGAAGAGCACGGACGGCCAACUCCCCGGAAAGAAAGAAAAACAGAGGAGGGAGGCGCACACCCCCAGAAGAAAAGUGUAGUUUAGUAGUGCAUUAGUCCACAGUUUAGUUCUCCCCUUGGUUCCUCGACUUUCCACAAGCCCAAAACAUUGGUUUUCCUGCGUUCCCCGAGUUUUCCUGCGAGCAGAGGCCCAGAGAUCCCAGCAAGUCGGAACUAUGUUUACGGGCAGAGCGCAACGAGGCCGCAGGAUGAGAGAAUAGUUUUCUUUCAGCGCCAUGUUGUCCAAUCCAGCCCCAAUGUAUGGUCGUCCGAGGUCUUGAGACCUGAUCCCCUGUGGGUGCCGAAGAGUGGAUCGCAGGAAGUGACUGGAAAGAGUGGUGCCUGCGUCGAGGGGCACGACUAACUGCAAAAAUCGUGGGCAAGGACAACGAAAAGCAUUCAGGUUGGAGUGUAAAAAAUAAAAUAAUGAAGUCCCAAGUAAAAAACACCCAAACACAUUUCUUAAACCCACACAAAACACUUACAAAGAGCGGAAAGUAAAAAAGUGCUUGAGUGUUGAAGCAGAAAAAUAAACCAACUUAUAAUUUGGAGUUCAUACAUUAAACACCUUAUUUAGUUAAUUGUAUUUCUGUGACACUAAGACACGAAAAACCAUUGAGCAUUUUGUUUGUUAAUAAUUGACUUUUGAGUUCUUGAUUGAGACAAUGACUUAUAUACCUAAAAAAAUGCAACACUAUGCGCAUGCAGCCAUGAAUCUGAUCAAUAUGGACUCGGAGAACCGGGUGGUGCUAAAUGUGGGUGGCAUUAGGCACGAAACCUACAAGGCCACUCUGAAAAAGAUUCCGGCAACGCGAUUAUCGCGACUGACAGAGGCCCUGGCCAACUAUGAUCCGAUACUGAAUGAGUACUUCUUUGAUCGGCAUCCGGGAGUCUUCGCACAAGUGCUCAACUAUUACAGAACCGGUAAGCUGCAUUAUCCCACGGAUGUGUGCGGACCGUUGUUCGAGGAGGAAUUGGAGUUUUGGGGCCUAGACUCGAACCAAGUGGAGCCCUGCUGUUGGAUGACCUAUACACAGCAUCGCGACACCCAGGAAACCCUUGCCGUAUUGGAUCGACUCGAUCUGGAUACGGAAAAACCGUCCGAAGAGGAAUUGGCGCGCAAAUUCGGCUUCGAAGAGGAUUACUACAAAGGCACCAUAUCCUGGUGGCAGGAGAUGAAGCCGCGCAUUUGGUCCUUGUUCGAUGAGCCCUACAGUUCCAAUGCCGCCAAGACCAUUGGCGUGGUUUCGGUGUUCUUCAUCUGCAUUUCGAUCCUUUCGUUCUGCUUGAAGACCCAUCCUGAUAUGCGGGUGCCCAUCGUCCGGAAUAUUACAGUGAAAACAGCGAAUGGAAGUAAUGGCUGGUAUCUGGACAAAACCCAGACCAAUGCGCACAUAGCCUUCUUCUAUAUCGAAUGCGUCUGCAAUGCCUGGUUCACCUUUGAAAUAUUGGUGCGCUUUAUAUCAUCGCCGAACAAGUGGGAAUUCAUUAAGUCAUCUGUUAACAUCAUAGAUUACAUAGCGACGCUUAGUUUUUAUAUCGAUCUAGUGCUUCAGCGGUUCGCAUCGCACCUGGAGAACGCUGACAUCCUCGAGUUCUUCUCGAUCAUCCGCAUCAUGCGUCUGUUUAAGCUGACGCGCCACUCGUCCGGCCUGAAGAUCCUCAUCCAGACGUUCCGGGCCUCGGCCAAGGAGCUGACCCUGCUGGUGUUCUUCCUCGUCCUGGGCAUCGUGAUUUUCGCCAGCCUCGUCUACUACGCGGAGCGCAUCCAGCCGAAUCCGCACAACGACUUCAACAGCAUCCCGUUGGGUCUGUGGUGGGCCCUGGUCACCAUGACCACCGUGGGCUACGGAGACAUGGCCCCCAAAACCUACAUCGGUAUGUUCGUGGGCGCCCUGUGCGCCUUAGCCGGCGUACUAACCAUUGCACUGCCAGUGCCCGUCAUCGUCAGCAACUUCGCCAUGUACUACUCGCACACGCAGGCCAGGGCCAAACUGCCAAAGAAGCGAAGACGAGUGCUUCCCGUCGAACAGCCGAGACAGCCCAGACUGCCAGGUGCCCCUGGCGGAGUCAGUGGCUGUGGGACACCGGGAUCGGGUCCCCAUUCCGGUCCCAUGGGAUCCGGUGGAACUGGACCACGUCGCAUGAACAAUAAAACGAAGGACCUGGUCAGCCCCAAGUCAGGUGAGUCCUUGUGUGUCCUUAAACGAAUAACACCACACCGAUUCCCACAAACCAGCAAAAUGCAAGCCUCAAGCUAAAGCCACAUAAAAAAGACAAGUAAUAUCGAGCUGCGCUUUAAAAAGGCACCGCCAAAACCCAAAAUAUACCACUAAAAGUACAAGAAACGAGUAAGCCAACCAACUUCUUAACCUGUACCUAAAGGCUCGCACAGCUGCACCCUCAGUUCAAAAGUAAUUGAGUUCAAUGGAUUAACUUGCAAUACACAACCCAGUAAUAAAUACUCGUUAUCCCUUGUGCCGUCUCGCAGUUUCUCCUGGCAAAUUAAUAUUAAUAGUCAUUGAGAAGUGCCUAGUAAAUGAUGCCAAGAAAUACGAUUCUUUGACCCAAAACGACUCCAUAUCUUGGGUGCGCUUUCCCUUUUCGGCUAUACUAUACCCAUUAUAUAACAUAUCAUUCGUCGUGUACGUGUAUAUAUGUACUCUAUGUAAUUACCAUGCAUUUAAGGCUUCUUUAUUCAUAUUCCUAUUUAUUCAUUCAAGCUUGGCUUUCAUUUCACGCAAAUCAUUCAAAUGGAUUUAUAAUGGAGCAUUAUCGAGUUGAAUUGGGAAAUCGAUAAGAAUGUUAAGGGAAUAAAUCCACGUAAUUCUUAAUAAUACUCAUAUUUACGAAAAACUUAAAUAAUAUUGCUUUUUAGCAAACUCCCUUUGCAAUCUUAUAGAUCUCCACGAAUUUCCCAAACUCAACAUAAAGCCAGAUUUUCAAGUCAUUUCCACACCAUAAAAUACAUUUGACGACCUUUACUUUCUCUCCAUUCAUCGAAGGCAUACUUGUAUAUUCAAAGUCAUCGCCCUCCAAUCAGUUUAGGGUGUACUUUUCCCAUUGAGUCAGCAAAAUACAAGAAUAUGUAUCGUACCAAUAUAUAAAUAUAUUUAUACCCUUUCUUCAAUACAUUAUACCCAGAUACAUGACCCUUUAUUAUAUAUAUCUAUUUCAAUCCUCGAUUUUUUGACAUCUUUGCUCCAAAUACUUUUGUUUACUUUAGUAUUAUUUAAUUUUAUUGAUAAACGAUACAAUCCAAACCCCAAAAAUCUUGUGUAAAUAGAUGAAUAUACAACAAUGAUUGGCAAACCGCGCGAUGGCAAAAAGAGCAGGCUGCUCUAAGCCAAAGAACACAACAACAGCAACAACCACAUGAACCACGAAACAACAACAACCACAACCAGCCGAAGAACAAAUAAUCCCCCAUACCAUUACUUCCAAGCUAGAACUUGCAAUGAGAGAUGAUGAUGAAGAUCUUUUCUAUAUAAGAAUUUGGCAAACUGAUCUAUGAGUAAACGAAGGAAAAUUAGAGAAAUCGAAAAAUGCAUCCCCGAGGACUGGACUUAAGAUCGAAACACGGAUAGAGAUCGUGAUAUGGCCUUCAGUUUCGACUAAGACAGAAAACAGAAAAGAACCAGAAAGAUAUUUUGUAAUUUGUUAAGCCCGCUCAAGACACAAAACAAGAAAAAACUCAGCAACAAAAUCGAAAUCGAAACGAAAUCAAAACGAAACCUCAGUUAAAUACAAACCGUAAAGAACUAACAAAUCCCCGGUUCGUUCAUCUAUCAUCUAACUACUUAUCAGCUAACCAAAACUCGGACUCUGCUGGGCGGGUGUGUGUUGGUUAAGAAACCUUUAUUAUCUACCCCUAACAACCUCCAACUUUCUCGCUCUCUUCCAACCCGAAAAAACUCCCAACUAAAAGUGUCAAAUAGUUGAAAAAGUUUGAAACUAGUUCGUAGCAAGCAGAAACUCUAGAGUUUAGAGCCACCUUCACGAAUCCGAUUUCCCAGCAUUUGAUUCUACAAAGUUCGCCCCCGUCCCCUCUUUGCCCGAGUCCAAAAUAUCCACCCGAGCGGAAAUCUUGCCGAACGUAGUUUGCAGAUACUGUAUCUAGCCUUAUAUGUGUGUGUUUAUUUGCCGAGCAUGCUGCAUGUGACCCGAAUUUUGACCCGAGUCUUGGCGUGUGAUUAGUGUUUCCAUAGUUGUGUGUGAUGUUUGUAAUCGUGCUCGUGUUACAACACCCUCCCCCCAGAAAACCACCCCACCUCCCCUCGUAUAUCGUAGUAACCAAGUGCACCCAGUAAUUACCAUCAGCAAUUUAAAAAAAGUUGCCUCCCACCUGUCAUAAUUAAAUUCAAAGUUUACCGAAUUCGGAAUCUCCAGCUUGACUAACCGACUUAAUGAAAAUAAUAUAUUUACUUCUCUCUCUCUUUUCUUUCUCUGUUUUUCUCUUACUCUUCCUGGACUUCCCACUACUAUAUCUAUCUAUUGUUUCCGGCUAAAUAACUCCACCUACUCCACCUACUUCCUAUCCGAAACCGAAACCGAAACUGAUAAUCCUUUCUGUGGCGGGGUUAAAACAAACAGUUGCUCAACUUUUCGCAGGUCCGCUGGGCGCAAGUAUUGUGGCCAUGAGUCCCAGGACAAUGCUGGACCUGAAUCCCGCCCUGGCGAUGGGCAAGCCGUCGUUUCAGCCCCGUAUA